UACGUAGGGUGCAAGCGUUGUCCGGAAUUAUUGGGCGUAAAGAGCUCGUAGGCGGUUUGUCGCGUCUGCUGUGAAAACCCGAGGCUCAACCUCGGGCCUGCAGUGGGUACGGGCAGACUAGAGUGCGGUAGGGGAGAUUGGAAUUCCUGGUGUAGCGGUGGAAUGCGCAGAUAUCAGGAGGAACACCGGUGGCGAAGGCGGGAUCCUGGGCCAGUACUGACGCUGAGGAGCGAAAGCGUGGGGAGCGAACAGG
rnacentral:rRNA from 1 species